rnacentral:lncRNA from 1 species
UUUUUUGCCUCCCUAAUUAGCACUUAAUCCAUGCCUAGUAGUGAAACUCUGGGGCAAACAAUAAUCAGCAUUUCUCCAAAGGCUCUUAAGCUAGUUAACAGUUCUAAACCUAACCAGUAAACAGGUAUCUCUCCUUUCAUUUGUUUCUUAGUGCCCUGUUCCAAACAUAGCCAUCAAUGUUGUGAAUCAAUCUUUUAACCUAAGAAUCCUAGGAGCCUUUUAUACAAGGACCUGGCUGCCUUCUGUGCUAUUGGCCUCUGAAAGUGAUACAUGACCCCUAGAUUAGUGUUUCCCUGUGUUUUUCAAAUCACCACACCCACUGAAGAUGUUAUUUGUACAUCUCACUGGGGCAACCAUACUAGGUUGCUCAGGGUCAAAGCAACCCAGCCCUGAGUCUUUGGCUGCAUCAAGGGAUGAGGAGACCAGUGUAUUGGCACAUCUAUAACAUGGGCACACUGCUGAGGUUAAUCACUGGAUUUCUCUUGCCUCACUAUAGAAUGUUCAUUCAUGAAUUUCCCUGUUCUCUGUUUUGUUUCUAAGGACAGCAAGUUUACCAACUGCUCUGUAAAGUAGAACUUCCUUUAUUUACUUGAAACUGUAUUUUCUAGAUCCCAAAAAUGACUGAUAUUGGAAACUGACUUCAGAAUGGGGAGAUGUGCCUGUUCCUAUUCUGCUUAACACUUUUCACAUUCUUCUUAUGUUCUUUAUUAUUUUAUUAUUUUUGCAUUCAUUCUGCAUACUAGGAGCUUUUUCUGUUUUUAGACCAAAGAGGCUUUCUUCUUCCCACCAUACCCUUAUUAAAAUACCCCCCAGUACCCCUGAGCCUUCCCCAUUAACAUUGUUGUUUAAUGAUAUAGUGACCAACACUG